CACGUAGGGGGCAAGCGUUGUCCGGAUUUAUUGGGCGUAAAGAGCUCGUAGGUGGCUCGGCAAGUCGGGUGUUAAACCCCCAGGCUCAACCUGGGGACGCCACUCGAUACUGCUGUGGCUAGAGUCCGGUAGGGGAGCGUGGAAUUCCUGGUGUAGCGGUGAAAUGCGCAGAUAUCAGGAGGAACACCAGCGGCGAAGGCGGCGCUCUGGGCCGGUACUGACACUGAGGAGCGAAAGCGUGGGGAGCAAACAGG
rnacentral:rRNA from 1 species